GGGUUUGAUCUUCAGCACCACAUAAAAAUGAAUAAAAUAAAGAUGACACAAGCCUGUGUUCUGACACCCAACCUUAUCCUGAGCCUUACAGCAAUUCCACUGCAGCUUCUAAGCCUCUGCCUGGACUCCACUAGGUGAAUAUUUAAGGAACCAACCAACAUGUCACUGGCCAACAGAAUCCAUUCUGGCUGCCCUAGUGUGAAGCAUGCUGGGAGCCUACUCAAGAGAGGGAACUGCACCCAGCACAAGAAGAUAGUCUUGGGAAUACAGUCUGUUUUUGAAGUUGUCUUCUUCAUUCUUUGCUAUGACUUUAUUUUCCUCUUCUCAAAAGUGACAAUAUGGUAGUGCAUUCCUUGGUAUGCCCUUGAUAGGUAAUGGGAAAGUCUGAAAGGUUUCCUUGAGAUCAGAGCUAAGCGGCUGCAUUAGAUUAAUAUAAUUUUCUUGCUUAAACAACAACCUUGAAUAUCCAACUCAUUCCAAUUCAACACACACCCAUUGGGUAUUUACCCUGAGGAGCUAACACAAGGCUCUGUACUAGAAAUUUCCAGUGUUAUUUAAUAAUUACAACAACCAUGAAUGUAACAGCCCUAUUUAUAAAGGAAAACAAAACCAAAAACACCCAUACCCUCAGAGAGGGUAAUUUAUUUGCUGAAAGUCAAAGAAGCCACAUCAAACCCAGGCAUUCAAACUCCAAAAUUGCAGACUGACUGUGGAAUUCAAGGCCUCCCAAACACUCUCUCUCUA